AGUUGAUAAAGCCACAGCCGUUGCGAAGCGGUGUCGGAAAGCCACGGGUCUCUUUUAAAGAGAUAGCCGAGCUGCCUAC
rnacentral:ncRNA from 1 species